rnacentral:rRNA from 1 species
AUGGGAAAUAGCCUCCUAUUUGCUGUGGCCAUUGUAGUCAUUUAUGCCACGGCAGUUGUUGGUGCAGGUUCACGUGUGCCAAUAGACAUCAACAAUCCAGACGUCCAGCGACUUGGCAGGUGGGCGGUGGCAGAGCACGAGAACCAGGUACAGGACGAGAUCAAAUUCAACAAAGUUGUGAGAGCCGAGAGCGACGCCGAUUUGGAACUAGGCUUACUCCUCCAUCUCUUCAUUGACGCAACCAACGGAGAUGGCAAGGAUGCCAAGUACGAGGCGGUUGUGGACCAGAUUCGCGGGAAACCCGAUCUCUUGGACUUUAAGCCGGUUAACUGA